UACGUAGGGGGCAAGCGUUGUCCGGAUUUAUUGGGCGUAAAGAGCGUGUAGGCGGCCACACAGGUCUGCUGUGAAAACUCGAGGCUCAACCUCGAGCUGUCGGUGGAAACCGUGUGGCUAGAGUCCGGAAGAGGAGAGUGGAAUUCCCGGUGUAGCGGUGAAAUGCGCAGAUAUCGGGAAGAACACCCGUGGCGAAGGCGGCUCUCUGGGCAACUGCUGACACUGAGGCGCGACAGCGUGGGGAGCAAACAGG
rnacentral:rRNA from 1 species